GUGUGAUAUGUGUGUCUAAUAUAAACAGUGCCUAGGCCACGAGUCCUCCUCAGUUUCUCCACUGUCCUACAUUGUGCCUCUCAAGGGGAUGGAAACGGAGGUGUCCAUGUUGGAUCUAUGCUGUGUCAAAUAUCUGAAUUAAGCGACUAGGCUUCUUCUGGGUCGUAUUCACUAGGCACAAAUGGAAGAAAACAGACUGAAAAGGGGAAGGAAUACAUGAACUCCUCCAAUAAGAAACUCGCUGUUUUUGUUUUGCGAAACAUUUUCCGUUGCAGAACGUUGUGCUCUGCUGUAUGUACACGAAUGAAUAGGAUCCCGGUUGUGAGGAUUACUUCACUGAGUAUACAAAACAUUAAGAACACCUGCUCUUUCCAUGAGAUAGACUGACCAGGUGAAUCCAGGUGACAGCUAUGAUCCCUUAUUGAUGUCACUUGUUAAAUCCACUUCAAUCAGUGUAGAUGAAGGGAGGAGACGGGUUAAAGAAGGAUGUUUAAGCCCUGAGACAUGGAUUGUGUAUGUGAGCCAUUCAGAGGGUGACAAAAGAUUGAAGUGCCUUUGAACGGGAUAUGGUAGUAGGUGCCAGGGGUACCGGUUUGUGUCAAGAACUGCAACGCUGCUGGCUUUUUCACACGCAACAGUUUCCUGUGUCAAUCAAGUAUUUUCCACCACCCAAAGGACAUCCAGCCAACUGGACACAACUGUGGGAAGCAUUGGAGUCAACAUGGGCCAGCAUCCCUGUGGAACGCUUUGGACACCUUGUAGAGUCAACAUGGGCCAGCAUCCCUGUGGAACGCUUUGGACACCUUGUAGAGUCAACAUGGGCCAGCAUCCCUGUGGAACGCUUUGGACACCUUGUAGAGUCAACAUGGGCCAGCAUCCCUGUGGAACGCUUUGGACACCUUGUAGAGUUCAUGCCCUGAGAAUUUAGGCUGUUCUGAGGGCAAAAGGAGGUGCAACUCAAUAUUAGUAAAGUGUUCUUAAUGUUUUGUAUACUCAGUGUGUACUAUAAUGCAUUGUGCCUCUCAAGGGGGUGGAAACUGAGUCUAGACUGGGCCUGACUGAAGGCUGGCUGGCCUGAUGCAUUAUGACCUGAAGCUCACAGGCAUUUACAAUGCCCUCCACCAAUCCACUGGACUGUUACUGUUAGGUUGAAUGCCCUCCUCCAAUCCCCUGGACUGUUACUGUUAGGUUGAAUGCCCUCCUCCAAUCCCCUGGACUGUUACUGUUAGGUUGAAUGCCCUCCACCAAUCCCCUGGACUGUUACUGUUAGGUUGAAUGCCCUCCUCCAAUCCCCUGGACUGUUACUGUUAGGUUGAAUGCCCUCCUCCAAUCCCCUGGACUGUUACUGUUAGGUUGAAUGCCCUCCUCCAAUCCCCUGGACUGUUACUGUUAGGUUGAAUGCCCUCCACCAAUCCCCUGGACUGUUACUGUUAGGUUGAAUGAGUAACGAUGAAGCCUACCGAAGCCUACAGUGAUUUGCUCUGACAGCAUUUUCUAUGUUAAUUUGACUAAUGAGUAACAUUUAAUUAUUUUUUUAGAGGUAAUCAUGUCAACAAAUGAAUUGAGUUUAUUUUACAGGGAGACGUGUAUGAACAGGGAUGGACACUAUGAGGAAAUGGGAGGGGAGAGAUGAUGUCAAAUAGUUUUAUAACCUGAAUGAUGAACCAUGUCUCUGACAUUUUGUAUUUUAUUGGAGCUGUGGAUGUGGCUAGCUUUGGUCCAGGGGGUUAGUGCAUUCCUCGCUAACGCCCUGGACCAGAGCUAGUUGUGGCUAACUGUGGUAGAGAGAAAUAUCAUUUUAAAAUGCUGUAAUUUCAAGUAAAUAAGAAAAGAAACCCAAGACCUUACUUUAAAGACAAGAUCAAAGCUGCUCUCCCUAAUGAGGAGUUGUACAUAUAAAUGUAUUUGAACAUAGUAUUAUUUGCAAUAUUAUAAUGUACAGAAUUGUAUUUAUAAUGUAUCUCAACAAACUGUUUUAAUUGGUACAAAGAUGUUCUAGAAUACAGAACGUUUACAAUCUAAA